GAGGACAUGAAUACGUUGGAUACGACCAAAAAUAUUGCAUACAUGUAUAUUUGUGAGGUGAUUUCUAAUGCAAACUAUGCAAUAAUUUAUUUAUGUCAUCCAGGA